UACGGAGGGUGCAAGCGUUAUCCGGAUUCACUGGGUUUAAAGGGUGCGUAGGUGGGCAGGUAAGUCAGUGGUGAAAUCUCCGGGCUUAACUCGGAAACUGCCAUUGAUACUAUCUGUCUUGAAUACCGUGGAGGUUAGCGGAAUAUGUCAUGUAGCGGUGAAAUGCUUAGAUAUGACAUAGAACACCAAUUGCGAAGGCAGCUCGCUACACGAAUAUUGACUCUGAGGCACGAAAGCGUGGGGAUCAAACAGG
rnacentral:rRNA from 1 species